UCGCUCUUCAACGAGGAAUCCCUAGUAAGUACAAGUCACUAGCUUGUGCUGAUUACGUCCCUGCCCUUUGUACACACCGCCCGUCGCUACUACCGAUUGAAUGGCUUAGUGAGACCCUCGGAUUGACGUUCAUCGGCUGUAAAAGGCUUUUGUCUGUUGAAAAGUUGGUCAAACUUGGUCAUUUAGAGGAAGUAAAAGUCGUAACAAGGUUUCCGUAGGUGAACCUGCGGAAGGAUCAUUAUUGAACCUAAGCAAGCCUGGCAAUUUAUUUUGCAAGGUUUUGCGCGUAUUUAAAACCCCACACUUUUUGAAAAUAACGCAUUUUACUUGAAUAAAAGUAAUUAAAAGAUCACUUUCAACAACGGAUCUCUUGGUUCUCGCAUCGAUGAAGAACGUAGCGAAGUGCGAUAAGUAGUGUGAAUUGCAGAAUUCCGUGGAUCAUCGAAUUUUUGAACGCAAAUUGCACUCUCUGGUAUUCCGGAGAGUAUGCCUGUUUGAGGGUCAUUAAAAUCAAAAUCGAUUUGUUUACUUUUGGUAACGUUUCGGAAUUGGGUCAUCUUAAACCUUCAGGUUCAAGAGGCUUAAAAUUGAUCAUUUUUUGGUAUGAAUUAAGCGUAUUUAAGAUCACUUAUCACGCGCUUGACUCCUAUCGGAUGUUUAUUAGGCGUGACCAUGAUCAUGGUUUCGCGCCCAUAAUCUUUCCAUGAAAUGACCUCAAAUCAGGUAGGAAUACCCGCUGAACUUAAGCAUAUCAAUAAGCGGAGGAAAAGAAAAUAACAAUGAUUCCCCUAGUAACGGCGAGCGAAGAGGGAAUAGCUCAAAUUUUAAAUCUACCUGGUUUACCGGGUCGAGUUGUAAUUUGAAGAAAUGUUUUUAAUGUUCCGGGUUGGUUUAAAUCCUUUGGGAUAAGGUAUCAUGGAGGGUGAGAAUCCCGUGUAUAUCAACCGCUGGGAUGUUAUCAAUACAUUCUCUAAGAGUCGAGUUGUUUGGGAAUGCAGCUCUAAAUGGGUGGUAAAUUUCACCUAAUGCUAAAUAUAAGCGAGAGACCGAUAGCGAACAAGUACCGUGAGGGAAAGAUGAAAAGAACUUUGAAAAGAGAGUUAAAUAGUAUGUGAAAUUGUUGAAAGGGAAACGAUUGAAGUCAGUCAUGCUGGCGAGAAUCAACUUGGAAUAACUUUCAAGUGCACUUCUUCGCUUGGCAGGUUAGCGUCGAUUUUGAAGGUCAUAAAAUGAUUGGGGGAAGGUAGCUCUUUCGGGAGUGUUAUAGCCCUUGGUAAAUGUGAUGUUUGGGAUCGAGGUUUGCAACGGAUACCUUUUAGGCUAACCGCCUGGCCUCUGAUUCGAUGUCGGGUUAUAGACAGCAUGCUGACUAUGAUUUGAUUAUUGGUCAAAAGGUUAGAGCGAGUGUAAAUUCGUUAAGGACGCUGACGUAAUGGCUUUAAACGACCCGUCUUGAAACACGGACCAAGGAGUCUAACAUAUAUGCGAGUGUUC
rnacentral:rRNA from 1 species